AGCGAACGCUGGCGGCAGGCUUAACACAUGCAAGUCGAGCGGGCAUAGCAAUAUGUCAGCGGCAGACGGGUGAGUAACGCGUGGGAACGUACCUUUUGGUUCGGAACAACACAGGGAAACUUGUUCUAAUACCGGAUAAGCCCUUACGGGGAAAGAUUUAUCGCCGAAAGAUCGGCCCGCGUCUGAUUAGCUAGUUGGUGAGGUAAUGGCUCACCAAGGCGAAGAUCAGUAGCUGGUCUGAGAGGAUGAUCAGCCACAUUGGGACUGAGAAACGGCCCAAACUCCUACGGGAGGCAGCAGUGGGGAAUAUUGGACAAUGGGCGCAAGCCUGAUCCAGCCAUGCCGCGUGAGUGAUGAAGGCCCUAGGGUUGUAAAGCUCUUUUGUGCGGGAAGAUAAUGACGGUACCGCAAGAAUAAGCCCCGGCUAACUUCGUGCCAGCCGCCGCGGUAA
rnacentral:rRNA from 1 species